CUUGGGCAAGUCGCUCCACUUCUCUGGGAUUGAAACAGGGUGGUUGAACAUGUCCAGAUGGAGACAAGAAAUGACAUCACAGAGGGCCUGGAGGAUAAGUAGACAAGGCUCAAGCAGGAGGAGCCAAUUGCAGGGCGCCAGCGAGAGGAAGCACUUCGGGAGGUGAGGCCCAGACCCGGAGGAGGCAGUGGGAAGAGGGGGAGCAGGGAACAGUGGACCAACCCGACCCUCCAACUCUUCAGAGAGGACACUGAGCCUAGUAAAGCUGAAACCCAACUCGACAGGAGGAGGAAGAGGAGGAGGAAGAGGGCGGUGGCAGUGGACCCCAACACUGACAGAGGUCAAACGGGAAGAUCUCUGCCGAGCAAGCUGGACUGCCCCGGCUCCAUCAGACAAAGCUCUCUCUAAGUUAGGGGACUGGGAGAGUUCCAGCGGCAGAGGGAAAAGGAGCGAUGAUGAGUAGCAGAGCGUGGCGACUCUUCAGGAGGAGGAGGACUGCAGCAGCGGUGGACCCCAGUACAGACAGAUGUCAAACAGGAAGAUCUCUGCCGAAUAAGCUGGACUCCCCCAGAACGAUUAUUAGGAGGGGGUGGCAAGAGAAAAAUGAUCUGAGAUGGAAUCGCAUGGCAGAGAUGCCUAGGACCCAUAGAGACGAUCCUUAGCUCUCCCUGGGACAAAUAGGGUAGGUGGGGAGGGGCUGGGGAGUGAUCCCCGGAUUUGGCUAAGGCAGGGUCUGGGGGAGUUUCAGUGGCAGAGGGAAGAGGAACAGCAGUGAACAGCGGAACACGGUGACUCGUCAGGAGGAGGACGGCGGCGGCGGACCCCAGUGCUGCCAGAUGUCAAAGAGGAAGAUCUCUGCAGUGCAAGCUAGACUCUCCUGGGACAAUCAGACAGAGGCCUGGGGGAGUUCCAGUGGCAGCAGAACACGGUGACUCAAGACGGCAGUGGUGGAUCCCAAUGCUGACAGACGUCCAACGUGAAGAUCUCUGCCAAGCAAGCUGGACUCCCCUGGAACAAUUAGCUAGAGGGAGAAGAGGGUGGCAAGAGGAAGAUGAACAGAGAUGGAAUCCCAUGGGGGCAGGGAGGACUGAGAUCUCUAGAACCAACCCUUAGCUCUCCCUGGGUCAGGAAGUGUGGAUGGGGCAGACCCUGGAUUAGGCUAGAACAGGGCCUGGGGGAGUUCCAGUGGCAGAGGGAAGAUGAGCGACGGUGACCAGUGGAGCAGGUAACUCAUCAGGAGGCAGUGGACAGCAGUGGUGGACCCCAGUACUGUCAGAUGUCAAACAGGAAGAUUUCUGCUGAGCAAGCUGGAUACUCCCAGGGAAGGGGGAAGGAGGCUAAAGGAAAAUGAUCCAGGAUGGGGGCGGAGAGAGCUGAGAUCUCGAGCCAACCCUUAGCUCUCCCUGGGAUGGGCAGUGUGCAUGAGGAGCUGGGCAGUGACCUCUAGAAAGGCCUAGGACAGGGCCUGGGGGAUUUCCGGUGGCAGAGGGGAGAGAAGCAGUAGUGAGCAGCUGAACACAGUAACUUGUCAGCAGGAGGAGGACGGCAGCAGUGGACCUCAGUACUGCCAGAUGGAAAAACAGGAAGAUCUCUGCCGAAAAAGCUGGACUCCCCUGGAACAAUUAGAUGCAGGGGGAAGGAGGGGGCAAAGGGAAGAUGGAAAAGGGAGUGACCCCUGGAUUAGGCUAGGAUAGGGUCUGGGGGUGUUCCGGAAAAGGUAGUGACCCCUGGAUUAGGCUAGGAUAGGGUCUGGGGGUGGUCCAGUGGCAGAGGGAAGAAGAGCACCAGGACACAGUGACUCGUCAGGAGGACGAGGACGGCAGCGGUGGACCCCAAUACUGCCGGACGUCAAACGCGAAGAUCUCUACCGAGCAAGCUGGAUUCCUAGCACACCCUCCCACUUCACAUCCUAUACUCACUUCCUCCUUUCAAACCCUUAUUAAAAGCAUAUCUCCAAGUGA